UUCGAAUUGUAAUGUUAACUGUGAGCUAUCGGUUAUCAGAUAACAGAUAAUUAUUAUUUGCCUGAUGUUGAUUUGCUCAUAGUGGCUUUGCAAUUUGGAAUAUCAAUCCAGCUACCAAAACUACUGACUACCGACUAUCAAAUUUUCUGUUUAUAAAUAGGCGAACAAGUAGAAUCAUUUCGUCAGUCGGUGCUUAGUUCUUGAACAGUAAAGAUCUCUGUCGAAAAUUACGUUUGGUAGUCAAUAAUAAUAUCGGUAGUCAGCUACCAACUACCAAAUUUUCGAAUUGUAAUGUUAACUGUGAGCUAUCGGUUAUCAGAUAACAGAUAAUUAUUAUUUGCCUGAUGUUGAUUUGCUCAUAGUGGCUUUGCAAUUUGGAAUAUCAAUCCAGCUACCAAAACUACUGACUACCGACUAUCAAAUUUUCUGUUUAUAAAUAGGCGAACAAGUAGAAUCAUUUCGUCAGUCGGUGCUUAGUUCUUGAACAGUAAAGAUCUCUGUCGAAAAUUACGUUUGGUAGUCAAUAAUAAUAUCGGUAGUCAGCUACCAACUAUAAAAUUUUCGAAUUGCAAUGUUAACUGUGAGCUAUUGGUUAUCAGAUAACAGAUAAUUAUUAUUUACCUGGUGUUGAUAUGCUCAUAGUGGGUAAGCAACUUUGAAAUUCAAU